GCUACGCAUAUCGACAUCGUAUAUAAUUUAUAUUUGUUCGAUAUAAUUUAAAAAUGUGCACAAAUAUCAAAUUUAAAAUACAUCCUACAUUUUAUUCGCGAGUGUUUAAAAUAUAUAUGUUUUAUUUAUGAAUGUUUUAAGUAUGUUUAUUUGCGCAGUGACGUAGUAGCGGUUUCGCGCGUUUUUUUGCAAUUGUUUAGUUGUGUAGUGUAGUGUUUAUUUACGAAUGUUCAGUCCAUAUAUUUCUACAUAAAUUAUUCUUAUAUAAUUUGUUUAUUAUAUAUAUAUAUAUAUAUAUAUAAUCAUUUUAUUUGUGAAUGUUGAUAUGUUUCAUCAUUGGACAAUCAGUCAAGUGGACGAUACAAUGUUCUACAAAGUUCUUCGGAAAGAAAAAUUUAAUAACCAUGAAAAAUAAAAUUUGAUUUUUUGAAAUUUGAUUUGAAAUAUGGAACCAUGUAAUGUUAGCCAUUCAGGAAGCUGCUAAAAUUCAGUCUCAAAAUGAAUCAAUGUACAUCAUUAUGCGCAUGGCGUCAGUUGAAAAUCUACAAUUGAAAAUCAUAGUGACAGAUUACUGUUUGAUUUGAAGAUAAGAAGAAGAUUUUGAAGAUGGGAUGGCCUCUUUGAAAGGAUAAUAUUUUUUGCACAUACUAUGCAAAAUAAUAAAUUAAGAGAUAAUCCGACAACUUUUAUGCAAAUGUGGAAAGUGGUAUCUUAUUCGACAUGUUUCGAUUUAUUGAAUUGUCGAUUUAUCGAACUUUUUCUAAUUUAUAAUUCGAUGUAUCGAAAUUACUAUACGGGAUUUUGCUACUAAAAAAAAUAGCCACUUCGCUUCAGACGAGAAAAGGAUUUUCAAUGGAUACCACGAUAUUAUUUUAUAUUUUAUGAAAAAAGAGGUAAAAUUUAAAUUUCUAUAUCGAAGAAAAAUUUUAAUUUGUUUCAGAAAUUACUAUGGAAUCAACCAAUGAAGACUUAUAUUUCAACGUAUUUUUUUUUUGAUUAUAAUGAGAUUUUUAAAUAAGUAGGGUCUGCAUUCAAAUCUUAACAUUUUUAUAUGAAUAGAUUAUAUCUUAGAUUAAAUAAGAAAAUAUUAAAAAAAAAA